UACCAAUGAUGAGCACAUGUAUAAGAGUAGUGGACAGAAGUGAUUUCUGAGCACUUUACAUUCUGAGGUC